GAGAUUACUGUCACAUUGGAAGAUGAAGAGGAGAUAGGAGAUCUGAUUAACACCAGAGAGAGACGGGACUACCGUGGGUCCUCUGGGGAGCCUCAACAACCUCAAGAUGCUGUCGAGGCAGAUAAGAGUCUCUCCACAUCAGAACACCUCAAGAACACCCGCAGAGAUCCACAGGGAAGAAACCUCACUGCUGCUCUGAAGGGGCAGUCAAGAAAGGGAACAGCAAGG